AGAACCAUUUGACAGAUUUCCAGACAUUUUAGUUGUAGAGCCAUCAAGACAGCCUGCAAUAACAGCCACCACGGGCCUUACCUCUGCCACAACUGUUGCCCCAAGCAGUUCUAACACAG